rnacentral:rRNA from 1 species
UAAGUUAAUAAGGGCGCACGGUGGAUGCCUUGGCACUAGGAGCCGACGAAGGACGUGACAAACGACGAUAUGCCUUGGGUAGCUGUAAGUAAGCGAUGAUCCAGGGAUUUCCGAAUGGGGGAACCCAACAGGUAAUACCUGUUACCUACAUCUGUUAAGGAUGUGAGGAGGAAGACGCAGUGAACUGAAACAUCUAAGUAGCUGCAGGAAGAGAAAGCAAAAGCGAUUGCCUUAGUAGCGGCGAGCGAAACGGCAGAAGGGCAAACCGAAGAGUUUACUCUUCGGGGUUGUAGGACUGCAAUGUGGACUCAAAGAUUAUAGAAGAAUGAUUUGGGAAGAUCAGCCAAAGAGAGUAAUAGCCUCGUAUUUAAAAUAGUCUUUGUACUUAGCAGUAUCCUGAGUACGGCGGGACACGUGAAAUCCCGUCGGAAUCUGGGAGGACCAUCUCCCAACCCUAAAUACUCCCUAGUGACCGAUAGUGAACCAGUACCGUGAGGGAAAGGUGAAAAGCACCCCGGGAGGGGAGUGAAAUAGAACCUGAAACCGUGUGCCUACAACAAGUUCGAGCCCGUUAAUGGGUGAGAGCGUGCCUUUUGUAGAAUGAACCGGCGAGUUACGUUAUGAUGCGAGGUUAAGUUGAAGAGACGGAGCCGUAGGGAAACCGAGUCUGAAUAGGGCGCCUUAGUAUCAUGACGUAGACCCGAAACCAUGUGACCUACCCAUGAGCAGGUUGAAGGUGCGGUAAGACGCACUGGAGGACCGAACCAGGGCACGUUGAAAAGUGCUUGGAUGACUUGUGGGUAGCGGAGAAAUUCCAAACGAACUUGGAGAUAGCUGGUUCUCUCCGAAAUAGCUUUAGGGCUAGCGUCGACAUUAGAGAUUCUUGGAGGUAGAGCACUGUUUGGGUGAGGGGUCCAUCCCGGAUUACCAAUCUCAGAUAAACUCCGAAUGCCAAUGAGUUAUGGUCGGCAGUCAGACUGCGAGUGCUAAGAUCCGUAGUCGAAAGGGAAACAGCCCAGACCACCAGCUAAGGUCCCAAAAUAAUUGUUAAGUGGAAAAGGAUGUGGGGUUGCACAGACAACUAGGAUGUUAGCUUAGAAGCAGCUAUUCAUUCAAAGAGUGCGUAAUAGCUCACUAGUCGAGUGACCCUGCGCCGAAAAUGUACCGGGGCUAAAACAAUUUACCGAAGCUGUGGAUACCUUUAUAGGUAUGGUAGGAGAGCGUUCUAUGUGUGAUGAAGGUAUACCGUGAGGAGUGCUGGAACGCAUAGAAGUGAGAAUGCCGGUAUGAGUAGCGAAAGACAGGUGAGAAUCCUGUCCACCGUAAGACUAAGGUUUCCAGGGGAAGGCUCGUCCGCCCUGGGUUAGUCGGGACCUAAGGAGAGACCGAAAGGUGUAUCCGAUGGACAACAGGUUGAUAUUCCUGUACUAGAGUAUGUAGUGAUGGAGGGACGCAGUAGGCUAACUAAAGCAGACGAUUGGAAGAGUCUGUCUAAGCAGUGAGGUGUGAAUUGAGUCAAAUGCUUAAUUCUAUAACAUUGAGCUGUGAUGGGGAGCGAAGUUUAGUAGCGAAGUUAGUGACGUCACACUGCCAAGAAAAGCUUCUAGCGUUUAAACAUACUCUACCCGUACCGCAAACCGACACAGGUAGUCGAGGCGAGUAGCCUCAGGUGAGCGAGAGAACUCUCGUUAAGGAACUCGGCAAAAUGACCCCGUAACUUCGGGAGAAGGGGUGCUGACUUAAAGUCAGCCGCAGUGAAUAGGCCCAAGCAACUGUUUAUCAAAAACACAGCUCUCUGCUAAAUCGUAAGAUGAUGUAUAGGGGGUGACGCCUGCCCGGUGCUGGAAGGUUAAGAGGAGUGCUCAGCGUAAGCGAAGGUAUGAAUUGAAGCCCCAGUAAACGGCGGCCGUAACUAUAACGGUCCUAAGGUAGCGAAAUUCCUUGUCGGGUAAGUUCCGACCCGCACGAAAGGCGUAAUGAUUUGGGCACUGUCUCAACGAGAGACUCGGUGAAAUUUUAGUACCUGUGAAGAUGCAGGUUACCCGCGACAGGACGGAAAGACCCCAUGGAGCUUUACUGCAGUUUGAUAUUGAGUGUCUGUACCACAUGUACAGGAUAGGUAGGAGUCUAAGAGAUCGGGACGCCAGUUUCGAAGGAGACGCUGUUGGGAUACUACCCUUGUGUUAUGGCCACUCUAACCCAGAUAGGUGAUCCCUAUCGGAGACAGUGUCUGACGGGCAGUUUGACUGGGGCGGUCGCCUCCUAAAAGGUAACGGAGGCGCCCAAAGGUUCCCUCAGAAUGGUUGGAAAUCAUUCGCAGAGUGUAAAGGUAUAAGGGAGCUUGACUGCGAGAGCUACAACUCGAGCAGGGACGAAAGUCGGGCUUAGUGAUCCGGUGGUUCCGUAUGGAAGGGCCAUCGCUCAACGGAUAAAAGCUACCCUGGGGAUAACAGGCUUAUCUCCCCCAAGAGUUCACAUCGACGGGGAGGUUUGGCACCUCGAUGUCGGCUCGUCGCAUCCUGGGGCUGUAGUCGGUCCCAAGGGUUGGGCUGUUCGCCCAUUAAAGCGGCACGCGAGCUGGGUUCAGAACGUCGUGAGACAGUUCGGUCCCUAUCCGUCGCGGGCGUAGGAAAUUUGAGAGGAUCUGCUCCUAGUACGAGAGGACCAGAGUGGACUUACCGCUGGUGUACCAGUUGUCUUGCCAAAGGCAUCGCUGGGUAGCUAUGUAGGGAAGGGAUAAACGCUGAAAGCAUCUAAGUGUGAAACCCACCUCAAGAUGAGAUUUCCCAUGAUUAUAUAUCAGUAAGAGCCCUGAGAGAUGAUCAGGUAGAUAGGUUAGAAGUGGAAGUGUGGCGACACAUGUAGCGGACUAAUACUAAUAGCUCGAGGACUUAUCCA